GGGGUUGUGGCUCAGUGGUAGAGCACUCGCCUAUCAUGUGUGAGGGCCUGGGUUUGAUCCUCAGCACCACA
rnacentral:tRNA from 1 species